UCGUAUCUGGAAACAGAACAACCCGAGAACAAUGAAAACAUCACUCUCGGUGGGCCGGUUUCUUUGCUGAUUCUGUGCCUGCCGAUUCCGUGGUUAUGCGUUAAGUUCCCAGCCAGUACUUCAGUCUUGGUUGGGUCUUGCGCAUUGCUUCCGGAUAUCACCAAACCCCGGCACGAAAAGUGUCAAGGAACAUUCAACUAGGUAGCCUGCUUUCGCCAACCCGGAGACGGUGUUUGUGCGGAAGCUGUGCUCCAAUGUAAAGUCU
rnacentral:misc_RNA from 1 species